GACUGUUCUUGGGUGACGCACCACGGACUCAGGCUCCCUCCUGUCUGGUUCCAGGUCUGUCACCUGAGAACUUCC
rfam:Myotis lucifugus cont2.27470, whole genome shotgun sequence.